UCAGUGGCCAACAAUCGUCAGGAUUGUUGAGCUGCAUUGGCGGGAUUUCGCCGUCUUCGUUUCUCUUUCUUCGCGGACGAACACGCGCUGGGGCUGCAAGUUUGCAGAGUCCCUGGUCCUUGACUGGAUAUGCGUUAGGGGCUUGUAGCUCAGUUGGUUAGAGCGCGCGCUUGAUAAGCGUGAGGUCGGAAGUUCAAGUCUUCCCAGGCCCACCACUUUCAUCGAGUGAGCAUUCGUCUUCUGGUUACGGGGCCAUAGCUCAGCUGGGAGAGCGCGUGCUUUGCAAGCAUGAGGUCGUCGGUUCGAUCCCGUCUGGCUCCACCAGAUGGUUUGAUCAUCGACUGAUCGUGCACCUAAAUCGUCCGCGAAACAUCACUUCGCAUCUUGCUAGUCUGGAUAGACAGCAAGUUGCGUGAUUUCUGACAUCGUAAAGAGGAGAUCGAUCCGAGUUGGAUCGUGCAGCAAGCAAUUGCUACGCGAGACUUCAUUAUCUCCGGAUCAUUUCGGCGCUCGUGCGUCUUUCAAGGGCAGCUCACAAGGCUGCUUCUGGAGAGACAAGCGAGUUGUAAAUGAUCCUUUUAGCGAAGCUUGACCGCCUCGCUAUCGGAACGAUCUUACGAAGCAAGCUGGUCUUUCUAAUCAUUGUCCGGCUGCAGAUAGCGUUCAUCGAGGGCGCGUGCCGCAAGGCAGUUCUGCAGACAACAUUCUGCCGAGUGUGUGGACAUUGAUAAUGAGAGCAAUCAAGUGCCUUAAGGGUGUUCGGUGGAUGCCUUGGCGCUGAGAGGCGAUGAAGGACGUGCUACGCUGCGAU
rnacentral:tRNA from 1 species